GUACGUACGCUGUUAUUUAGUUCAGUGUUUAAUUAUGUUUUUACUGCAUCUUGUUACUAUUAUGAUAGGGUUGUUCAUGCUAGUUCUAGUCAAGUUCAUGAUCUAUUUAUUUCGAAAUUUAAUCGGACAAUUGCCUAAUUAUUCAAUAAUCCAAAAAUCUUAUUAUAUGCAAUCUGUUGAUUUUACUAUGGCUAGUUUUGCUGAUGCACUGAGGCCGCACAAGUUUACCUGUGUGCACUUCAAGAGAUGGCAAGUCAAGGUCCGUCUCUGGCUUACUAUACUGCAUGUAUGGGAAGCAAGACUUGGUACUCCAGCAGGUGAUCAUUCCCUUGAGAAGAGGAGAAAGCUCACGGAUGCCAAUCAUGUUUUUAUGGGAUGUGUGAUUAGUGUUCUGCAUGAUUGUCUGGUUGAUGUGUACAUACACAUAACUGAUGCAAAAGAGCUGUGGGAUGCAUUGGUUGCUAAAUAUGAUGCAACAGAUGCGAGCAGUGAACUGUACAUUAUGGAGAGCUUUCAUGACUACAAGAUGGUGAAUAACCGUUCUGUUGUAGAAUAGGCUCAUGAGGUACAAGUUCUUAUCAAAGAGCUCGAACUCCUGAAAUGUCCUAUACUCGAUAAGUUUGUGGCUGGAUGCAUAAUUGCAAAGCUGCCCUCCUCAUGGAGGAACUUCGCCACUGCUUUGAAACACAAGAGACAGGAGAUAUCAGUUGAAAAUCUAAUAACAUCUCUUGAUGUUGAAGAGAAAGCUCGGUCAAAGAUGCUUCUAAUAAAGGAGGUGAUGGUACUUUUAGCGCCAACAUGGUGCAGAAGAACCACCCACACAGCAAGAACAAAAAGGCUGCCCACAAGCCUGCCAAGACUACUACCUUCAAUAAGAAGAAUACAAAUGUCAAAAGAGCUUGCUUCACGUGCGGUGAAGGGGGAUACUUCGCAAGAGAUUGUCCAAACUGUGCUGAUCGCGAGGCAAAGGCUAAUCAUGGAUCAGGAGGAUCUAAGGACGUCAACAUGACAAUUCUAGGAAGCACUGAGGACGGGCCGCUCAAGGUUCAAGCGUGCUGAUGGGAAACGGGUCACAUGCUUCUGUUCGUGGUGUUGGUACGAUAGAUCUGAAGUUUACUUCGGGGAAGAUCGUGCAGCUGAAGAACGUGUAGCAUAUCCUAACUAUCAACAAAAAUCUAGUGAGCGGCUCCCUUCUAUGCAAGGACGGGUUUAAGGUAGUGUUAGAGUCCAAUAAAUUAGUCGUGUCAAAACAUGGACAAUUCAUUGGUAAAGGCUAUGAUUGCGGAGGCUUGUUCCGCCUUUCCCUUGCAGAUUUUUGUAAUAAGUCAGUGAACCAUAUUUGCGGUGCUGUUAAUGAUGAUGCGAGUGUUUGGCACUCUCGUUUAUAUCA